UAGGGAAUCUUGCGCAAUGGGCGAAAGCCUGACGCAGCCAUGCCGCGUGAAUGAUGAAGGUCUUAGGAUUGUAAAAUUCUUUCACCGGGGACGAUAAUGACGGUACCCGGAGAAGAAGCUCCGGCUAACUUCGUGCCAGCAGCCGCGGUAAUACGAAGGGGGCUAGCGUUGCUCGGAAUUACUGGGCGUAAAGGGCGCGUAGGCGGACAGUUUAGUCAGAGGUGAAAGCCCAGGGCUCAACCUUGGAAUAGCCUUUGAUACUGGCUGUCUUGAGUGCGGGAGAGGUGUGUGGAACUCCGAGUGUAGAGGUGAAAUUCGUAGAUAUUCGGAAGAACACCAGUGGCGAAGGCGACACACUGGCCCGUUACUGACGCUGAGGCGCGAAAGCGUGGGGAGCAAA
rnacentral:rRNA from 1 species